rnacentral:lncRNA from 1 species
GCCACAUGUACAAAGUAACAAUUAAUAGGGUGGAAACUAGAUAAUCAGGUUCGAUUGAUUUUAGCAUUAUUAAAUGGGUCGAUCUAUAAUUAACAACCAUAUUUUAAAAAAUCAGAUCCGACCCAAUACAUCUAACCCGACCCAAGCCAUAUUAGCUUAUCUUCCCCUAAAUUAUUUCCGACAACUAACCCAGAAUCACCUAUCGAAGUUACAAACAAUGAAAAGAUUGAGACUUUCGGAGAGAGAAAACAGAGUGUGAGAUGGGAAGGAGAACCAUAGAAGAAUAAAACUCACUACAAAUGCAUCUGUAAGACUGUAACUCCAAGGAUGAAACUUGGCUUCAACCCAUAGAGCCAUUAAAAGAGGCUUUUGUGCUUAGCUUAGCAUCUUAAGGAAUGCUAGUAGAAAUUGAGGUGGCAUAGAAAUAGCAAAGCUCAAACGGCAAUGGCACGAUGUGUUACUCAUCGGAGCUUUAUUUUCUUCACCGCGGAGCCGAUAUUGAUUCAUCUUGUUGCGGCUCAGAUUCUGAGGAAGAGGAGGAGACGACUCAAGGGAUAUGGAUUGGUACAGCGUAGCAGCUUAGUCGUCCAUUCCGUCUCAAAUGCAAUUUCUACUAGUAAUCCUUAUUCUCUCUCUCUCCACUAUUGUCUGCAUCUCUUUUCUGGAUUUUGAUCAUAUGGUGUUUUAUUUAUGUUGCAGCUAUCGGACAAUUGCUUUAUCCUCGUGAUUUUCUUUCUAGGUUAGUUGUCUGGGAAAUGAUUUUGGGAAAGACGAGUUAAUAUGGCUGGGUUAGAUGUCUUGGGUCG